CACGUAAAAACGCACAACUUGUAACAAACCUGCAGCAGACUUGUAGCAAGUCUGCACCAACAACUUGUCAACAGGAUGUCUUCGCACUGGUUGUUCCAAGCUUGUUGUGACGGACUUGUUACGGCUUGUUGACGGACUUGUAGCAAGGUUGUUGUGACAGGGCCGUAACAAGGUUGUUGGCAACAGGUUUGUAGCAAGCUUGUCAACAACUUGUCACAAGUUUGUUGACACAAAGCUGUAGCAAGCUUGUCAAAAUCAGUCCGUAACAAGCUUGAAUCAACAAGCUUGUUACAAACAUGGCGGCUCGUAAAAAUUCCCGCGC